ACAAAUCACACAUGUGAUCUGUUUGAAAGGUCCUUUUGGAUCGCUAGAGGAUGGUCUUGCGGCGUAUUAGCUUGUUGGUAGGGUAGAAGCCUACCAAGGCAAUGAUGCGUAGCCGAGUUGAGAGACUGGCCGGCCACAUUGGGACUGAGACACUGCCCAAACUCCUACGGGAGGCUGCAGUAGGGAAUUUUCCGCAAUGCACGAAAGUGUGACGGAGCGACGCCGCGUGUGUGAUGAAGGCUUUCGGGUCGUAAAGCACUGUUGUAAGGGAAGAAUAACUGAAUUCAGAGAAAGUUUUCAGCUUGACGGUACCUUACCAGAAAGGGAUGGCUAAAUACGUGCCAGCAGCCGCGGUAAUACGUAUGUCCCGAGCGUUAUCCGGAUUUAUUGGGCGUAAAGCGAGCGCAGACGGUUUAUUAAGUCUGAUGUGAAAUCCCGAGGCCCAACCUCGGAACUGCAUUGGAAACUGAUUUACUUGAGUGCGAUAGAGGCAAGUGGAACUCCAUGUGUAGCGGUGAAAUGCGUAGAUAUGUGGAAGAACACCAGUGGCGAAAGCGGCUUGCUAGAUCGUAACUGACGUUGAGGCUCGAAAGUAUGGGUAGCAAACGGGAUUAGAUACCCCGGUAGUCCAUACCGUAAACGAUGGGUGCUAGUUGUUAAGAGGUUUCCGCCUCCUAGUGACGUAGCAAACGCAUUAAGCACCCCGCCUGAGGAGUACGGCCGCAAGGCUAAAACUUAAAGGAAUUGACGGGGACCCGCACAAGCGGUGGAGCAUGUGGUUUAAUUC
rnacentral:rRNA from 1 species